rnacentral:rRNA from 1 species
GACGAACGCUGGCGGCGUGCUUAACACAUGCAAGUCGAACGGAAAGGCCCUGCUUUUGUGGGGUGCUCGAGUGGCGAACGGGUGAGUAACACGUGAGUAACCUGCCCUUGACUUUGGGAUAACUUCAGGAAACUGGGGCUAAUACCGGAUAGGAGCUCCUGCUGCAUGGUGGGGGUUGGAAAGUUUCGGCGGUUGGGGAUGGACUCGCGGCUUAUCAGCUUGUUGGUGGGGUAGUGGCUUACCAAGGCUUUGACGGGUAGCCGGCCUGAGAGGGUGACCGGCCAGAGGGGGAGUGAGAAAGGGCCGAGACUCCUAGGGGGGGAAGAAGGGGGAAAUAUGGAAAAGGGGGGGGAGGCUUGAGGCGGAAGCACGGGGGGCGGGAUGGGGGCUUGGGGGUUAUAACCCGUUUUCGCCUGGGAAGAAGGGGGAGUGAAGGAAAUGGGAAAAGAAGAACCGGAUAACUACGUG